GAUGAACGCUGGCGGCGUGCCUAAUACAUGCAAGUCGAGCGAACAGACGAGGAGCUUGCCCCUUUGACGUUAGCGGCGGACGGGUGAGUAACACGUGGAUAACCUACCUAUAAGACUGGGAUAACUUCGGGAAACCGGAGCUAAUACCGGAUAACAUGUUGAACCGCAUGGUUCAACAGUGAAAGACGGUCUUGCUGUCACUUAUAGAUGGAUCCGCGCCGCAUUAGCUAGUUGGUAAGGUAACGGCUUACCAAGGCAACGAUGCGUAGCCGACCUGAGAGGGUGAUCGGCCACACUGGAACUGAGACACGGUCCAGACUCCUACGGGAGGCAGCAGUAGGGAAUCUUCCGCAAUGGGCGAAAGCCUGACGGAGCGACGCCGCGUGAGUGAAGAAGGUCUUCGGAUCGUAAAACUCUGUUAUUAGGGAAGAACAAAUGUGUAAGUAACUAUGCACGUCUUGACGGUACCUAAUCAGAAAGCCACGGCUAACUACGUG
rnacentral:rRNA from 1 species